GCUGGAGGACUAAGAAGGCUGAGUCUGGUGAAGUAAGACUCUGCUGAUACAAUCCUCCUAGAAAAUAGGGUGGGAGAGAGCAGCCCUCAUUGGAGAACCCCCCGGGGCUGACUGUACGACCCAACACGC
ensembl:scaRNA